AGGACGAAAUCUGUUCACCAUUUUCUGAUUUAUAAGGGAAACAGAUUGACAGAGGCAGCUCUAGACAAUGAUCCAGGCUAACCAAUCAAGAUGGCAGCCUCCAAGUUGGAGGAAACUGACGACGAAGGAAACGAAACUUUGGGAUUUGUUAUCGAUGAAGUCAUCAAUAACAUAGGAUCGUCCUGGGAUCCAACGAACUCUGUUGACUGGGCUAAGGAAAAGGCUACGUCACAAUGUUUAAUGAGAAUAAAAAGAGACAUCAUGUCGAUAUAUAAUGAACCACCACCAUGUAUGUGUAUAGUACCACACAAAGAGGAUAUGACUGUGAUCCAUGCAUUGAUAACAGGACCUUUUGAUACUCCAUAUGAAGGAGGAUUUUUCUACUUCAUCAUCCGAUGUCCCCCUGAUUAUCCAAUCAGACCCCCGCGAGUGAAACUCAUGACAACGGGAGAUAACCAAGUCCGAUUUAAUCCUAACCUUUAUAAAAAUGGAAAAGUCUGUUUAAGCAUACUUGGGACUUGGUCAGGCCCCGCGUGGAGCCCAGCACAAAGUCUGUCCAGUGUUCUGAUCUCAAUCCAGUCCUUAAUGAACGAAAAACCAUACCACAAUGAACCUGGAUUUGAAAGGGAGAGAAUGGCUGGGGACAUGAAGCGAUAUAAUGAGAUUAUACAACAUGAAACACUCCGAGUAGCUGUCUGUGAUAUGUUAGAGGGAAGGUGUACUUGUCCAGACACCUUGAAAGAGGUGAUGGAAACAUCCUUUUUUGAGUAUUAUGACUAUUACAAAUCAAUAUGUUCCUCAAAAAAGAACCUACAAGGGCAAACUAUGCAGGAUCCAUUUGGCGAGAAAAGAGGAUGUUUUAACUACGAAUCCAUUGAAAAGCGACUUGAUGAGAUCAAGAAACGAUUAGACGAGAAACAGGUUCUGUCAAGUGACUCCUCAGAAGAAUCUGACAUGGAAACAAAUGAGAAAACCAGUGAUUCUCUAGAGGAUGAGGGGGGUGAGAGGUCAGAGGUCAAAGGGGCCAAGGACAUUGGAGAUGUCAAGGUCAACAGCUGAUACCCUGUCUUAUGAUAAACUUAACAUGAACAAGUAUUAUUCCUUCAUUGGACCUAAAUACUGCUCCUUGCACUGAAUAUGGUUGACAUACUCAUGUCAGUUUACAGAAUUCUAGAAUGGACACUCUAUUGCAAGUUAUGAGAAUUAUAUUUUUUAAAUAGUUUACAUUUUUGCAAUAUUGACUUUGAAGUGUAAAAGAGAGUGUUUAAUGGUCAAAUAUGUAUUGUUUUUUUUUUCUUUUGGAUCAUUUGCCAAUGCAAGUGUACAUUUGGAAAAAGUAUCUUGUUGAGAUUUUUUUGCGAUUGUUUUUACUUUUAUGAGACGAAAGAAUGUUGAUUUGGACCACUUUAUGCAGUCUUUCAGUUUCUUUUGUUGGUAAAUGUUAUAAUGAAAUGUAGUUACAUUUACAGUAUACAUUUAUAAUUUCCAUUUUUUUUGUAUAUGAAUAAUCUCGAGCACUGCAUGGUAGGCUUUGUUUUAAUGCAUGUAUUAUGCUUCAAGCAUCAUUUAAAAUUUAAAUCCAUUUAUUUUCUUUUAUUGAAUGCAAUCUAAUGUAGAACAAAUCAAUUUUAUGAAUAAUAUUGAAACUGUGCUGUGAUCAUUGAAUCUUUGUUGAAAUAGUGCUUUCUUCCCUUAGAUAUGUUCUCAAAGUUUCAUACAUACAUAUAUUGUUUUAUUUAGUACAGAUAUAUUGUACAGAACAUAUGUACGUGUAUACUUAUUACUAAAAAGAUGUUUGUUGAGCUAACAGGGUAUAUAAUUUCCUCUUACAUGCACUGGACCAAAUGUUAUAAACAUAUUCUCAUUCAGAAAUUUGUUAAUGCCAACGAAAAAUAUCACAUCUUAUAAUAAUAGUAACUGUUAUAUCUUAUUUUCCCCUGUGAUUGAUCAUUGUGUGCAUUUUUUAAUUUGUCCCAUCUACAUGUGUCCCUUGAUGCUUGAGCUGCAAUGGUUUUAACUUCCUUAACUUAAUCAUGUAUGAAAUUCAUGAAGGGUUAGAUUUUCAAUAUUUUCAUUAAGAAUUUGUACUCAGCUUGAGCCCUUGACUACUGUUUUAAAGGAAAAUCAAGAAUCAUGCUAUAUCCUCCUCAUUUUGCAACUGAAGCUUUUCCCUUUAUAUUCUAAAAUGUUACAAUACUUUUGGAAAUGGUAAAAAAGGAGACCUAAUCUGCUGUC